UGGGGGAACAGGUAGCAUGCUGUGAUGUUCUGACCUUGAGCACUGUGCAUAUGCAUGUGUUUGUGCUGCCUGCCUCCCACCGCUGACCAGCGCUCACUUCUGCACGCUGCACCGCCAUUGAAAGCUGACCACUGCAGACCACAACUGGCGGUGGUCAGAGGGACAUCAACGCCUCAGCGUAGAAGGACAGCUUAGUACCGCCGCAUCCCCCGCAGACCAUGGGCUCAUCCGCCACCGACAACCACAGUCCCUUCCGCACCUCCGCUGCACAUAUCAGUACGCCAGAGAAGCACCACAGCCAGUCCACAGCCAACACUGCCAAGUGAUGCAGAUGGUGGUAAUGCAGGUUCUUCUUCUGCAAGCCGCCCUCCACUAAGGCGAACAUCACAGGGCUCGGUGAGUGUGCCUAGGAGGCCAAGCAAGACACGUCGGCUUGAGCCUGAGUCUGCGGCUUCAUCAUCACCACCCCGGAGGCGCAUCUCCGCAGUGUUGCCCCAGCCACCACAGGCAAUUUUGGCAAGUCCAGAAAGCGAGGAGCCACAAUCACCUCAGCUGUCUGGUGA